AGUGAACGCUGGCGGUAGGCCUAACACAUGCAAGUCGAACGGCAGCACAGUAAGAGCUUGCUCUUACGGGUGGCGAGUGGCGGACGGGUGAGGAAUACAUCGGAAUCUACUUUUUCGUGGGGGAUAACGUAGGGAAACUUACGCUAAUACCGCAUACGACCUACGGGUGAAAGCAGGGGAUCUUCGGACCUUGCGCGAUUGAAUGAGCCGAUGUCGGAUUAGCUAGUUGGCGGGGUAAAGGCCCACCAAGGCGACGAUCCGUAGCUGGUCUGAGAGGAUGAUCAACCACACUGGAACUGAGACACGGUCCAGACUCCUACGGGGGCAGCAGUGGGGAAUAUUGGACAAUGGGCGCAAGCCUGAUCCAGCCAUACCGCGUGGGUGAAGAAGGCCUUCGGGUUGUAAAGCCCUUUUGUUGGGAAAGAAAAGCAGCAGGUUAAUACCCCGCUGUUCUGACGGUACCCAAAGAAUAAGCACCGGCUAACUUCGUG
rnacentral:rRNA from 1 species